GUUACGGCAACCAGUCCGGUACCCACGAAUGUAGUUCUUAAAAAAAAUAUAUAACUUUUAUUUAAAAUGGUGUAGUUUUAUUAUUACACAAGUUCUGUAACUGAAUGUAGAUUUAUUUGAAAGGGUAGGCUUUCUAGCUUGAAUUUCUGUAAAAAUUUUGAUUGAUUUAAAUGUAAUCAGGCGUCGGUACAUAGAGUAAAUUGCCUAAAUUCUAGCCUUUAUUCUUCCCCGGAAGUAGAUGGACCUACCCUGUUGUCAAUAGAAACAAAAUUUUGCAACGGAAUGCCGGUCAUGAGGCACUGAGAUUGUACUUAGAAACUUCGAAACAAAUGCCUAACAUGAAACAGAAGUCCCAAGCAGUAGAUGAAUGCAGCUAUAUCUUCCUUUGAUUUUGGAACUUUUGAAGAACAGCUUCUGGUUGGUUAACUUGUUUGGACCCAAGUACAUAGAUCUCAGCCACCAACAGUUUGAGUGUCCACCACCACCACACACGUAUGAACUAGUGGGACAUUUAGAGCAGUCACAAGUAUAACAAUGCACAGUAGCAUUAAGCAUUCAGGCAGAUCCAGGAUUUCCCUCGACAUUUGUUAAACUGUAGGAGGUGCCGUCUUGACUGGUUUUAGCUACAAGUGAGAACUUCUCUGCAUCUAGCCUCUUCCAUUGUAUAUUAAAUGAACUUAGCUGACUAUUUGAAGACUAAGUCUCAUGAUUUAUACCCUUGUUAUGGGGUAUGCUUCUUUGCAUAUGUAAUUCUUAUAAGAUUUUUUUUUUUAAUUAAAAAAUUAAUUAUAAUUAACUUUUUUUUCAGCAAAAAAUUUUUUUAACUAGAUUUCUAUACAAAUAAUGAAUUUAUCUAUCAUGUGCAAUUUACAGAAUGUAAAUAUCUUUUAAAAUAAAAAAGUUUUGCUGAU